AUACUUACGGGGCAGUAGAAAUACCAUGAUUAUGAUAGGUGGUUUUCCCGCGACGAGAUUUGUUUAUUGCAUUUUUGAUGUACUGAUCCCUGCCAUUUUCCUAAAUGCGGGAAAAUCUGUUGCAUAAUUUGUGGUAGUGGGCGACUGCGUUCGCGUUUUUCCCUG
rnacentral:snRNA from 1 species